AGCGAGAGAGCCCCACCUGGUAGGAGUCCAGUCUCACCCUCAGGGCACUCACAGACUCUAGCAAAACACCAAGCAGAGAACCUGGCUCCGGGAGUGUCUGAUGUCUGGGUACAGGAGCAGAAAGAAGAAAAAGAAUAAAUAGAGGCUCCUUCCAGGAUGGAUAGAGCAGAUACUCCCCGACGGCGACAGCUCCCAGUGCGCAUGCUUGGUGGUGCCAAGCCGCCAUCUUGUACCUCCCACUUGGAAAGAGAAACAUUUUUGAAUAGAUUCUGUUAAUUUACUUUGAGAUCGUCAGUAAAUCCAGAAUAAAAAAAAGUACAGUGUAUGGAUCAAUAUUAACUUCCCCAGCAGGGUGGAAGAGCUUGAGCCCACCUACGUACUGAAAAUACAACUGACAUUGGUAACAGAACUGAGCGAGGCAUUGUGCAGAUUGUUUUAAGUGCAUUAUCUCAAUAAUCAACAUAACAACUCCAGAAAGUUACUGGAUCUUGCUGUGACUGAUACUACUACAGAAGAGGAGGAACAAAUGUUCUCAAUUUCCUUCUGUAUAAAGAGUUUGCACCACAAGACUUGUCCCUGCCAUUUGCCAUUCCUGUAUCACUAUCCUCCAAAGACUCCUGUGGAGCAAUGCAACCAUCCUAUGUUCAAAGUGACUUCUUUGGGUCAAGGUGAAGUUGGGCUGCUUGAUUGACAGUUCCUGUUGUAUUUUCUAAUUUUUAU